AGCUGUUGCUAUAAGUAAUUCAAGUAUGAGGCUGAGUCCUCAGUAUCUGCUAAAGUUGUUGCUGUCUUUGCACAGCUUUAAUGCUCCCAUUGUAGAGUCUUGGAGGAGCCUAUCUCAAAGAGAGACUUGAGAAUGGAUUUUGCUGUGGCAUUGGUGGACUUCCCCCCUGAAACCAUGGCCAGCCUGUUGAAACUGUCACAGACAUAACAUGCUGAAAUGUAGGACUGGAUAAGAACUCUUGGGUCAUCAAGUCCAGCCUGGAUAAGAGAAGGCAUCAUAUUAUUAACAACUGAAUUGGAAAUAUCAAAAGUAUUACGGAGAAACUAGCAGAAGUAUAAGAAUGUUUGCAGAUUUCCACCGGAUAACUUUUAUCAGAUAUUGGGAAGCCCAAGCUAGUAUACAGGUUGUAGUAUAUAGAUGCUAGUACAUAACCUCUAUCCUGCUUUGCGAAAGAUAUUAAGUGGCUGCUCACUGGGGUUGCUUGAAUGAGGGAAGGACAAGGAGAAUCUCCUCAUUUAUUUAUAAAUUUGGAGUAAGCAGUAAUAAAUGGUUCUCUUAGCAUUCUUAGC
rnacentral:lncRNA from 7 species